rnacentral:lncRNA from 1 species
CCUAGCGGUGUCAGAUUGGUGACAGGGAGUCUAGAGGUGUCAGAGUGUCUAGCGGUGUCAGAGUGGUGACAGGGGGUCUAGAGGUGUCAGAGUGGUGACAGGGAGUCUAGCGGUGCCAGAGAGGUGACAGGGGGUCUAGCGGUGUCAGAGUGGUGACAGGGAGUCUAGAGGUAUCAGAGUAGUGACAGGGAGUCCCUAGCGGUGUCAGAGGGGUGACAGGGAGUCUAGCGGUGACAGAGUGGUGACAGGGAGUCUAGCGGUGCCAGAGAGGUGACAGGGGGUCUAGCGGUGUCAGAGUGGUGACAGGGAGUCUAGAGGUGUCAGAGAAGUGACAGGGAGUCUAGCGGUGUCAGAGGGGUGACAGGGAGUCUAGCGGUGUCAGAGAGGUGACAGGGAGUUGAAACUAGAUUCACUCUGAAAAACAAUGCUCUUGCUGAGCCACUAUCACAGAAUAAUAACAUCAUUUUUCAGAGGCACGUAAGAUAAGGCCAAAUAGAUCAAUCUGAUUCUCUCUCGCUGUUUACCAUGGUGAUUGUUAUCCAGUCAAUUUAACAAUCUGAUUCUCU